UACAUAUUUUUGACAAUAUGA
rnacentral:piRNA from 1 species